GAGGAGGACCCUCAAUCAUAGAACUGCUACCUCUGUGCCCCAAGACUAACCUCUUGGCC
rnacentral:tRNA from 1 species